GGCAGUUCCGGGUGAUGCACCCCAGAAUCAGGCUCCCUCCGCUCUGGUUCUGGGUGCGUCACCCGAGAACUGCA
rfam:Myotis lucifugus cont2.24147, whole genome shotgun sequence.